rnacentral:rRNA from 1 species
GGGUUGUGAGGUUAAGCGACUAAGCGUACACGGUGGAUGCCCUGGCAGUCAGAGGCGAUGAAGGACGUGCUAAUCUGCGAAAAGCGUCGGUAAGGUGAUAUGAACCGUUAUAACCGGCGAUGUCCGAAUGGGGAAACCCAGUGUGAUUCGUCACACUAUCGUUAACUGAAUACAUAGGUUAACGAGGCGAACCGGGGGAACUGAAACAUCUAAGUACCCCGAGGAAAAGAAAUCAACCGAGAUUCCCCCAGUAGCGGCGAGCGAACGGGGAGCAGCCCAGAGUCUGAAUCAGCUUGUGUGUUAGUGGAACGGUCUGGAAAGUCCGACGGUACAGGGUGAUAGUCCCGUACACCAAAAUGCACAGGCUGUGAACUCGAAGAGUAGGGCGGGACACGUGGUAUCCUGUCUGAAUAUGGGGGGACCAUCCUCCAAGGCUAAAUACUCCUGACUGACCGAUAGUGAACCAGUACCGUGAGGGAAAGGCGAAAAGAACCCCGGCGAGGGGAGUGAAAAAGAACCUGAAACCGUGUACGUACAAGCAGUGGGAGCACCUUCGGGUGUGACUGCGUACCUUUUGUAUAAUGGGUCAGCGACUUAUAUUCUGUAGCAAGGUUAACCGUAUAGGGGAGCCGCAGGGAAACCGAGUCUUAACUGGGCGUUAAGUUGCAGGGUAUAGACCCGAAACCCGGUGAUCUAGCCAUGGGCAGGUUGAAGGUUGGGUAACACUAACUGGAGGACCGAACCGACUAAUGUUGAAAAAUUAGCGGAUGACUUGUGGCUGGGGGUGAAAGGCCAAUCAAACCGGGAGAUAGCUGGUUCUCCCCGAAAGCUAUUUAGGUAGCGCCUCGUGAACUCAUCUUCGGGGGUAGAGCACUGUUUCGGCUAGGGGGUCAUCCCGACUUACCAACCCGAUGCAAACUACGAAUACCGAAGAAUGUUAUCACGGGAGACACACGGCGGGUGCUAACGUCCGUCGUGAAGAGGGAAACAACCCAGACCGCCAGCUAAGGUCCCAAAGUCAUGGUUAAGUGGGAAACGAUGUGGGAAGGCACAGACAGCCAGGAUGUUGGCUUAGAAGCAGCCAUCAUUUAAAGAAAGCGUAAUAGCUCACUGGUCGAGUCGGCCUGCGCGGAAGAUGUAACGGGGCUAAACCAUGCACCGAAGCUGCGGCAGCGACACUAUGUGUUGUUGGGUAGGGGAGCGUUCUGUAAGCCUGCGAAGGUGUGCUGUGAGGCAUGCUGGAGGUAUCAGAAGUGCGAAUGCUGACAUAAGUAACGAUAAAGCGGGUGAAAAGCCCGCUCGCCGGAAGACCAAGGGUUCCUGUCCAACGUUAAUCGGGGCAGGGUGAGUCGACCCCUAAGGCGAGGCCGAAAGGCGUAGUCGAUGGGAAACAGGUUAAUAUUCCUGUACUUGGUGUUACUGCGAAGGGGGGACGGAGAAGGCUAUGUUAGCCGGGCGACGGUUGUCCCGGUUUAAGCAUGUAGGCUGGUUAUCCAGGCAAAUCCGGAUAAUCAAGGCUGAGGUGUGAUGACGAGGCACUACGGUGCUGAAGUAACAAAUGCCCUGCUUCCAGGAAAAGCCUCUAAGCAUCAGGUAACAUCAAAUCGUACCCCAAACCGACACAGGUGGUCAGGUAGAGAAUACCAAGGCGCUUGAGAGAACUCGGGUGAAGGAACUAGGCAAAAUGGUGCCGUAACUUCGGGAGAAGGCACGCUGGUGUGUAGGUGAAGUCCCUGCGGAUGGAGCUGAGACCAGUCGAAGAUACCAGCUGGCUGCAACUGUUUAUUAAAAACACAGCACUGUGCAAACACGAAAGUGGACGUAUACGGUGUGACGCCUGCCCGGUGCCGGAAGGUUAAUUGAUGGGGUUAUCCGUAAGGAGAAGCUCUUGAUCGAAGCCCCGGUAAACGGCGGCCGUAACUAUAACGGUCCUAAGGUAGCGAAAUUCCUUGUCGGGUAAGUUCCGACCUGCACGAAUGGCGUAAUGAUGGCCAGGCUGUCUCCACCCGAGACUCAGUGAAAUUGAACUCGCUGUGAAGAUGCAGUGUACCCGCGGCAAGACGGAAAGACCCCGUGAACCUUUACUAUAGCUUGACACUGAACAUUGAGCCUUGAUGUGUAGGAUAGGUGGGAGGCUUUGAAGCGUGGACGCCAGUCUGCGUGGAGCCAACCUUGAAAUACCACCCUUUAAUGUUUGAUGUUCUAACGUUGGCCCCUGACCGGGGUUGCGGACAGUGUCUGGUGGGUAGUUUGACUGGGGCGGUCUCCUCCCAAAGCGUAACGGAGGAGCACGAAGGUUAGCUAAUCCUGGUCGGACAUCAGGAGGUUAGUGCAAUGGCAUAAGCUAGCUUGACUGCGAGCGUGACGGCGCGAGCAGGUGCGAAAGCAGGUCAUAGUGAUCCGGUGGUUCUGAAUGGAAGGGCCAUCGCUCAACGGAUAAAAGGUACUCCGGGGAUAACAGGCUGAUACCGCCCAAGAGUUCAUAUCGACGGCGGUGUUUGGCACCUCGAUGUCGGCUCAUCACAUCCUGGGGCUGAAGUAGGUCCCAAGGGUAUGGCUGUUCGCCAUUUAAAGUGGUACGCGAGCUGGGUUUAGAACGUCGUGAGACAGUUCGGUCCCUAUCUGCCGUGGGCGCUGGAGAAUUGAGGGGGGCUGCUCCUAGUACGAGAGGACCGGAGUGGACGCAUCACUGGUGUUCGGGUUGUCAUGCCAAUGGCACUGCCCGGUAGCUAAAUGCGGAAGAGAUAAGUGCUGAAAGCAUCUAAGCACGAAACUUGCCCCGAGAUGAGUUCUCCCUGAGACUUUAAGUCUCCUGAAGGAACGUU